CUUAAAUUUUUUUUUUCUACAAAAGAACAUGAAAAUAAGUUCAGUUCUGAAUAUUUUUUACAAAAGGAAAAGUUGCUAUAGGAUAAAAUUCGUGCCAGCACCCGCGGUUAUACGAUUUAUAAAAAUUAUUUUAAGAAUAGUUUAUUGUAUAUAUAGAUAAAAUUUUUAAAAAUUUAAAUCUUAUUAAUAACAAGGAUUAGAUACCCUUUUAAAAAAGACAAAAAUGAUGAAAAUCAAAAAACUUGGCGGGUAAGAAACGUUGAGGCUCCCAAUAAGAUAACCCACUAUAUAAACCAUAAUAUAAAAACGGUGUAUUGCCGACAAGAUGUUUUUCUAAAAAACCUCUAAUGUCAGGUCUUAAUGCUUUAACUAUGGUACUUUAGGAGACAUUUUUUUAGAAUCAAAAAGUAAAAAUAAAAUAUUGAAUUAUAUCUUACAGCACACAUCGCCCGUCAGCUCUAAAAAACUUAGAGUAAGUCGUAACAAAGUAGUAGUAGUGGAAACUGCUGCUAUGAAUAAUAUUGUAA
rnacentral:rRNA from 1 species